CAGCAUUCUGUAGCAAUACAGGGUGUGGGCGCGUGGCGAACGGGUGCGUAACACGUGGAUAACCUUCCCUGAGGUGGGGAAUAACCCAGUGAAAAUUGGGCUAAUACCGCAUAACAUCGCGAUGGCACAUGCUGAUGCGAUCAAAGGCGCAAGUCGCCACAAGAGGGAUCCGCGGCCGAUUAGCUAGUUGGCGAGGUAAUGGCUCACCAAGGCAAUGAUCGGUAGCCGGACUGAGAGGUUGGCCGGCCACACUGGAACUGAGACACGGUCCAGACUCCUACGGGAGGCAGCAGUGGGGAAUCUUGCACAAUGGACGAAAGUCUGAUGCAGCAACGCCGCGUGGGGGAUGAAGCUUCUCGGA
rnacentral:rRNA from 1 species